ACACACACACACACACACAUACACAAGAGCCUUUGUGGUGAUAAAAGAAGGAAGACAAAAAGAUGUUCUCAUAUAUAAAGUAAUUAUAAACAUCUCAUAAGGAUCUAGAAAAGGAAAGAAACAGUCACUAAGUGCCCCACAAGCACAUAAGGUCUGUGCUUAGAUGACUUACAUAUAAGGAAACACACAGCUAGUUGGGGGCAGAGUUAGGCUUGUAUCUAGCUUUCUGACCUCAACCCACUGAUUUCACCAGCUACCAACUCCUCUUUUCACAGACCCAAACAGCAGCAGCUCAUAGGCAUCAGUAAGAAGGUUUCCAUCCAAAAACUACUUCCCUAAGUACCUGUUAAGUGCUGGGCACUGAUGAGGCUCUUUGGCAACCUAGCAUUCUUAUCCUCCUGGAACUGCAAGGCCAAUAGUGCACCACCUUCCCAAAGCCACAGGAGAUGGGCCAGGAGGGAGGAGAGGGGCCCCAGUGGCAAGGGAAGCCUCAGGGGCCAGGGCCAGCCUUUCCCAGGUGGGAGCCGUGGCCCUUCCUUCCCAUCCGUUCUCUGCCCGCUAUCACUGCCUCUCACUCUGAAAGUGACAGAGCAAGAAUAAAGGACAGGUGCAAAGGGGACUGUCGGAAGCUGUGUGAAGCACAGAUGCUCCCUGAGGGAACGUAAGAUGAGAAAGGGCACAAGCAGAGUCUUCGGGUUCCGGUUCCCUGUUACACAGCCACAACACUGAUGCUCAGAGAGAAGGGAGCGAGCAGGGGGCCAUGACUGAAGCCAGAGGAGUCUGCACAGCUGCAGCUUAUUUUUCUGUUUUGUUUUGUUUGUUGGUUGGUUGGUACCAGGGAUCGAACUCGGGUCCUUGUGCUUGCGCAGCAGGCGGCAAAACCACUGAGCUAAAUCCCCAGCCCAACAGCUGCAGCUUAUGAUGGACUUGAAACCUCAGAACUACUCAGAGCUCUCCAGGGAUAGACGCUGCCUCUGCAUGAGCUGUGCCAUGGAGGUCUCAUGGUGAUGCUAUACCCACAGGGACAACCAAGAGGCAAUGAUGUCUCCGUGUGUCAGUCAGUCCUGAGCUGGAUGCCAGGGUGAGAGGGAAUCAGACAGUUACUCUCACAAGAAAGUAAGGAAAUUCUCAAGGCCAUUAAAUGAAGAGGGAACUUGGUUCCACCGUCUGCCUCCCAAGCACAAGAUCCUGCAUUCGAUCCCUUGUAUUCCCCGACACACACACAAAAAAAUGAAGAGGGAACUAAAAACCAGAAUGGUAAAUGAAUAAAGAUGUUGUAAUACCUUCAGAUAGGACUUCCAUCUCAGGAAGCCACACUGUGGAAUAAAGUGAGGACUGUCCGCAUGUGGCUAUAUAAAUUUUGCUAAAUUAGUAUUCAUUUAAAUUUACAUUGGGAAGUCUCACCAGCCACAUUUCAAGCACUCUAUCACUCCAUUCGACUAACUGCUACCAUUUGGGGCAAUGAACAUAUAGCACAUGUUCACCACUGUGGCAAGUCCUGCUGAACAUUGCUAAUGGAGACUUGGAUAAUAGCCAGACAGAGACAGCUGACAUCGUAUUGGACCCAACUGAAGCAAGAAGACUGAGCUGAGCUCCCUGCAUAAGACCAUGACCCUCAAUGGAAGGGUGGACAGAGAAACAAGUCCACCACCAAGACAAGGAGACC
ensembl:lncRNA